rnacentral:lncRNA from 1 species
GAAAAUGUACUUCUGUGCAGGUUUUGGCCCUUGUUCUGGUUGGUUGCAGUAAGCAUAGGUGAGUUUGAAGGUGUCCACAUAGGAGAGUUUGAACUCUGGGGACAGUAAUGUUUCCUUGGCAAUCCUCUCAGUAUACAGGUAGGUUUCUAGUGUCAUCAAAGUUUUUAUUGUGCACAGAAAUGCUUAUGGACUCUACACUGACACCCUCUUCUCCAUGUCUUCUCAAAUUCCCUUCAAGAGAAAAUAUGAAAUGUAGAAGACUCUGGCUGCAACCUCAUGGACAUCUCAGAUAUGAAGAAUUGGUUGUUGACACAAGAUUGAUAGGUAAGCUGUAUUGUUCAGAUUGUGAGGUAAGUCCUGUCAUGGACAUAGCCUUGUUCACAAGACCUGAUCGAUGUUCCUUUGAGAGCUCACAAAGGAGCCUCUGCCUAACCUGGUGUUGCCAUGAUUUAUCAGUAGGUAUUGUGCUAGGGAAAUUUGGUCUUGAGAGGUGUUGCCACCUUCAUCCUUGAGACACCUUUUUUCAGAUGAAUAUUGAAGGAGGACACUUGGGCACCCUUCUGCCUUUCCAAAUACUGUUUGACCUGUGUGCCAAUGAAGGUCAAAUAAUGGACUCUUCCCAGUGGCUACAGUAAGCCUCCCA